rnacentral:rRNA from 1 species
CCUACGGGGGGCAGCAGUGGGGAAUAUUGGGCAAUGGGCGCAAGCCUGACCCAGCAACGCCGCGUGCAGGAAGAAGGCUUUCGGGUUGUAAACUUCUUUUCUCAGGGACGAAGAAAGUGACGGUACCUGAGGAAUAAGCCACGGCUAACUACGUGCCAGCAGCCGCGGUAAUACGUAGGGGGCAAGCGUGAUCCGGAUAUACUGGGCGGAAAGGGCGGGUAGGCGGGGCUGCAAGGCAGAGGUGAAAACCACGGGCUCAACCCGUGGCCUGCAUUUGAAACUGUCGUUCUUGAGUACGGGAGAGGCAGACGGAAUUCCUAGUGUAGCGGUGAAAUGCGUAGAUAUUAGGAGGAACACCAGUGGCGAAGGCGGUCUGCUGGACAGAAACUGACGCUGAGGCGCGAAAGCGUGGGGAGCAAACAGGAUUAGAUACCCUAGUAGUC